ACCUUGCAGAUUCCCUCCCCCUCGGAUCUAAAUAUUGACUGGAGUGGCUAAAAGAGGAGGAAGAGCAAAGCUGGAGAGGACUUGGAGCCUUCAGUGAAAUACAAGUUCAUCUCAAGCACAU
rnacentral:snoRNA from 1 species